UACGUAGGGGGCAAGCGUUGUCCGGAAUCAUUGGGCGUAAAGCGCGUGUAGGCGGCCAGGUAAGUCCGUUCUGAAAGCCCGGGGCUCAACCCCGGGAGGCGGAUGGAUACUGCUUGGCUCGAGUCCGGAAGAGGCGAGUGGAAUUCCCGGUGUAGCGGUGAAAUGCGCAGAUAUCGGGAGGAACACUAAUGGCGAAGGCAGCUCGCUGGGACGGUACUGACGCUGAGACGCGAAAGCGUGGGGAUCAAACAGG
rnacentral:rRNA from 1 species